CCUCAAAGAGCACCCAGCAUAACUGUGGGAGAAUAGUAAGCAUUGGACACAAAAUGGAAAAGCUGACCUUCUGGUACGGAAGAGCAUGAGCAGUGAGUGAGCAGUGCCCAUGCGUUGUGAGGCGGCCUCCAUGGUAUAAGGUUUAGGCAAAUAAUGAUGAACAAAAAUGGUCAGUCUGUGUUCCUGCUGACCCAGCACAGUGGGGACGCUGUGUAGGACAUGACCUUUGGGGGAAAGGACACAAGAACUCAGCGUGGGGGAUCCAGAAAAGAAGUCGCACGUAUUGAAGCCAGUAACGCCAAGCCAGUGAAUUCUCCUUGACGAGAAAGACCCACUUACUCUGCAGAAGAGAUAUAUGACAGCUGACAAUCCCUGGAGGAGAAUCUUUCUACUAAAUUGGUAAGGGAUGCUAAGCAAAUGAUGUGGACUCAGGAAACAACGCAUUUCAUGAUAUACGGUUGCCUCUCAAGGUGAAUUCGAGACCCCUCUUGAAUUACAAAGAGUAACUCCAGGUUGAAGAACUUCUACUUAUAGGCAUCUAUUCAACGAAGACGAAUCCUGGAAUGGGGAUGGAAAUGAUGGCUCAUGUCUUAGCAAACUACCAAACUGAUCCGAGAGGACAGGGAAGUCAGUGUGGGCGGCUCUAAGGAGCCUCCCUCUCUACAGCUGCGGCUCAGAGGAUUACGGCGCUUCAUCCACAAGGCAACAUUGCACAAGUAGCUUUUGAACAAAAGUCAUGGAUACUAUUAAUGAUAUGGUAAUCCUUAAUCGAGCUACCUCCCAGUAGUGAUUAUACUGACAUGGGAAGAAUAUCUAAGUCGUGGAGGCAGCCCACAACAACACUGUGUCAUUGUUCACCCCGGGCUCGACCAGGACUAACUUUUACCAGCAUCUCUAACGUCACCUUUCCCCUGAUGCCUCCCCACAACCCCUGGCCCCAGCUCCCAUUCCCGCCCCAUCAUAGCAAAAAAGUAGCAAAGAAAACCCUGAUCCUAAAUCUUUUUCUGGAUUUUUUUUUGCAAGUUCCCACACACAUUUAGUGUCGUCUCAAAAUUCACGCUGUCAACUGUCUCUAGGAAUCAUUUCCAUCUGAGAACAGACCACACAAAGCCUCUGGAACUCUGAGAGAAUACAUUCCUGUCAUUUUAAGCCACCCAGUUUGUGGUGCUUCAUGAUGGCAGCCCUAGGAAAGUAAUACAGAGUUCUUCACCCAAAAGGAAGCACUCUGUCUCACCAACAGCCAAGGUCCUGGAUGACUGACAACCUGAGAUUGCAGACCUCCGAGAAAUUGAAGUAGGCUCUAUAAAGUCUGGGCAGCCCCGUCUUCCAAAGGCUGCUUCUCAAGUCCACACACACACUUUGGAAGGAGAAUCCUGCUCUUGGACGUGGUAUUCUUGGUGGGACAGCUACCUAUAAAAUGAAUGAG
rnacentral:lncRNA from 1 species